UCUCUUUUCGUUUGCUGUUC
rnacentral:siRNA from 1 species